rnacentral:rRNA from 1 species
UACGUAGGUCCCGAGCGUUGUCCGGAUUUAUUGGGCGUAAAGCGAGCGCAGGUAAUUUAUUAAGUCUGGUGUAAAAGGCAGUGGCUCAACCAUUGUAUGCAUUGGAAACUGGUAGACUUGAGUGCAGGAGAGGAGAGUGGAAUUCCAUGUGUAGCGGUGAAAUGCGUAGAUAUAUGGAGGAACACCGGUGGCGAAAGCGGCUCUCUGGCCUGUAACUGACACUGAGGCUCGAAAGCGUGGGGAGCAAACAGG